rnacentral:lncRNA from 1 species
CCUGUUUCAAGGUCAGUGGUUAGCCACCUUCAUUCCAUCUGCUACCAUAAUUCCCAACUGUCAUGUAACGUAACAUAAACACAGGUUCUGAUGAUUGGGACAUGGACAUCUUUAGGGGCCAUUAUUCUGCCAACUGCCCCAGAACUGAUUCAUUUUCUUAAGGUCUGCCUCCCCAUUGGCUCCGUGAGGGCAGAAACCGUUUGCCCCUCCCCAAGCUCUUUCCCCAGCAUCAAGAGCAGUGCUGCUUUCAAAGUAAGUACCCAACAAGUAUUGCUGUGAUGCUAAUGGACAUCUUCUGCAUAUUCGCUGCAGGGUCUAGGAGCGAUUCAUCUCAAGAAAUCCUUUUCGUAUAACAUAAAUGUGCUAGUAUUUUGACGCGCAUGUACUCAGGACCAGAUAGAAGUCAGAUGAGCAAAGGUCGACAGGAGGGGGAAGAGAAAUUUCAUGUGGAACCUUUAGAACCCUCCAACAACCAACUCCCAAGUUCAUGUAGCACUUGCAGUGGCAUCUGCCUGGGAUGGACACAGCGCCAAGAAGAUAAAGGGGAUUUAAAUGAUUUAGAAGAAGUAUGGAGCGCAGACGUUAGGUAAUUACAGAAGUUUAGAGCUUAAACAGGUCUUAUAGGGUCUCUAUUCCAGUUUCCCCUUGGGUCCCUACGACGGUAAUUAUUUUAGGUGGGACACAAACAGGGCGUUAAAACAGAUUCACAAAAUGGGGAGCUCGUCUCCCUUUCGGUUCUCUGCAAUUCUUCUUAUUAUGGAAAACACAGUCUCUGCUUCGUGUUGGUCUGUCUUUAACACCUGGCUAACACUUGCUGAUCUCCUUUUUAACAAGCAGAGAGCAGACCUCAGGCUAGAUCUUGGGCGGAGUCCAUCUAGAUGGGAUGUUUGUGGCCAAACAAUGCAGGGGCCUCCAGAUGACUGAUUUGGGGAGACUGGGGCCAACUCCCUCUCUUCCCAGUUGAGGAAACAGAGGCCCAGAGAGCUGGUCUCCCGAACCCCAUCUCCUGAGCCCUACUCCAGCGUCUGCCUCAUGUGUGUGAAAGUGCCCAAGAAAUAACAGGGGAGAAAACAGACCAUCCAUCACUAAAAGGACGAGAGAAGAGAAAGUGAAAGGGGCAGGAGAUGGAUGUUUCCUUCUCUGGCCAGGCUGCUGAGCCCCAGGCCUUGGAGAGAAUUCAGAAGAAUGUGAGGGAGCAGAAGGAAAAAUGAAGCAGUCAAACUGCCUGCUGGCAGGGAAGCCUGCUCAGCUCUGGCUGAAGCCACUGGCAGCAGGAAUGCUCUGGGUGUGUGGGAGGAGGGGAAGGAGGAGCAGUGCCAGGAGGCAGCUGAGGGGUGCCCAGGAGCCGGGGCUCAGGACUCCCCCCGCCACCCAGGAGGGCGCUUGAGGAGGGAGCCCCAGAGUGACCGUAUAAGCCAGUCAGACCCCUCAAAUCUCUGUCCUCCACUCCCCCACCCACCCAGACCUCAAGAAAGCCAGCCGUCACCCUUCCUCCGGCACAUCCUGGCAGACGUGCAGAUAUGGCCCUGACUUUACAGCCAAAAUUACCUUUCCAGGAAAAUGCUUCCACCUUCUGAAAAGGACACUGAGAAAAUAGUGUACAAGGCAGAGGAUUUCAAACUCUUUUAAAGCAGACAAAUCUUUCUGUCAAUGAUCAAACAGGAGCAUCAUUUAAGGGUCUGCAAUCAGAGUUCCUAAAAAGUAUUUGACUGGAACAAAGCUACUUCAAGCUUUCUCAGCAAGCUUUGGUCUACACCAUGGGAAAAUGGCCCACUGCCCAAUUAACCUGGCAGAGGAAUCAGAAGACUAGCCCCUCCCCCUCCCCUGGGACCCCUCCCCGCCAUUUUGGUUCAGUCCAGAAUAACUGAAUUUAGACUGAACCAUUUGGGGUCGCUGUUUUGAUCUGGAGGCUUAGAAAAGAAGAUUAAA